UGUGAUUCAGCAUUGCACUGGCUAGUCGUGGAAUACUUCAGUGGCUGUUCUCCAUAGCAUAUGUCAGAAGGAAGCAGUACCCUUAGCUUCCCUUUUGACUGCUGUUUUUCCUCUGGGGUACAGCUGUAAUGAAUAGUACUUUAUCUAGCAAGGAUUGUGGGAAGGACCACCUGGAGACACUGCCUCUUGUAGCAGCAAAUGCACAGAAGACAGAGUGGGGAGGAGUGCUCGCUGUACUCUUGGGAUGCCACCAGCCCUGUGGAAUCUCAGCACUGAAAACUAGGAGAAUGAGCAGCACGAGAAGCUCCGCCUGGAGAGGGAGCAGGAGCAGAAGAAGGCCGGGAAGGGGAGCGCGCCGCGGGCCAACAGCGCCGUGUCCCCCGAGGAGCCCCGCAGCGAGCUGCUGGUGCCCAUCUCCCCCCGGC
rnacentral:lncRNA from 14 species